AUGACUGCAUCAACCAUGGCUGGGCCAGACAGAAGCCAGGAGCCUGGGACCCCACGCGGGGCUUCCAGGGGCCCGGCAGGGACCCAAGUCCCCGAGCUAUCUGCCAUUGUUCUCCCCAGGUGCCGGACCAGAAGUGGAGCAGCCAGAACUCCAACUGGCUGCUAUGUGGGAAGUCGGCGUUGCAAGCUGUGGCCUAACCCCUGCACCAUGACGCUGGCCAGCCCCAGCAUGCACUCUGUAGUAAUCUGCUACUGGAUUUCGACAUCUUGCCAAGGCCAGGAGCCUGGAAGCCUGGAGCCUCAGCCCGUCUCUGCAACACCACAGCCUGAGUCUUGUCUGCGAUCUGCGUGGCUCUGGGAGGUGACCCGUGGAGUGCAGCAGCGCAUCCUCAGGACGUGGGUCCAGCUCCGGCUCCGAGGACGGUGCCCGUCUACGCAGGCACACGCGUCACUGCCUAGGACAGAGCCAGAUUGCCUCAAGUUUGCUUAUCGCCUGCUGCUCUCUGCUUUUUAACUUCUGCUCCUAGAAGACGUGAAGAAUUCAGGAGAAUUUACUCAUGGAUCCCAGCAACAUAAUCCUGGGAGAUUACCUUCCUGUUCUGUCAGGAACUCAGACCGUCUGAAGCCUGUGUUUCGAAGGCACGCUUCAUAGCACACCAAAUAAAACAUUCAGCACAAAUUUGGCCCUACUCCGU
rnacentral:lncRNA from 1 species